GACGGUGCCUGAAUAGGGUGAAGUCGAGGAAACUCUGAUGGAGGCUCGUAGCGGUUCAUAUGCAAAUUAAUCGUCAAACUUGGUAUAUGAGCAAAGGGCUAAUCGAAUCAUCUAGU
rnacentral:ncRNA from 1 species